rnacentral:rRNA from 1 species
AUUGAACGCUGGCGGAAUGCUUUACACAUGCAAGUCGAACGGCAGCACGGGGCAACCUGGUGGCGAGUGGCGAACGGGUGAGUAAUACAUCGGAACGUGCCCAAUCGUGGGGGAUAACGUAGCGAAAGUUACGCUAAUACCGCAUACGAUCUACGGAUGAAAGCGGGGGAUCGCAAGACCUCGCGCGAAUGGAGCGGCCGAUGUCAGAUUAGGUAGUUGGUGGGGUAAAGGCUCACCAAGCCGACGAUCUGUAGCUGGUCUGAGAGGACGACCAGCCACACUGGGACUGAGACACGGCCCAGACUCCUACGGGAGGCAGCAGUGGGGAAUUUUGGACAAUGGGCGCAAGCCUGAUCCAGCCAUUCCGCGUGCAGGAUGAAGGC